rnacentral:rRNA from 1 species
UACGUAGGGUGCGAGCGUUAAUCGGAAUUACUGGGCGUAAAGCGUGCGCAGGCGGUUCGUUGUGUCGGCGGUGAAAGCCCCGGGCUUAACCUCGGAACUGCCUUCGAUACUGCGGGUCUCGAGUCCGGGAGAGGUGAGUGGAAUUCCUAGUGUAGAGGUGAAAUUCGUAGAUAUUAGGAAGAACACCAGUGGCGAAGGCGGCUCACUGGCCCGGUACUGACGCUGAGGCGCGAAAGCGUGGGGAGCAAACAGG